rnacentral:rRNA from 1 species
UUGACCUCGGAUCAGGUAGGAAGACCCGCUGAACUUAAGCAUAUCAAUAAGCGGAGGAAAAGAAACCAACAGGGAUUGCCCUAGUAACGGCGAGUGAAGCGGCAACAGCUCAAAUUUGAAAUCUGGCUUCGGCCCGAGUUGUAAUUUGCAGAGGAAGCUUUAGGCGCGGCACCUUCUGAGUCCCCUGGAACGGGGCGCCAUAGAGGGUGAGAGCCCCGUAUAGUUGGAUGCCUAGCCUGUGUAAAGCUCCUUCGACGAGUCGAGUAGUUUGGGAAUGCUGCUCAAAAUGGGAGGUAAAUUUCUUCUAAAGCUAAAUACCGGCCAGAGACCGAUAGCGCACAAGUAGAGUGAUCGAAAGAUGAAAAGCACUUUGAAAAGAGGGUUAAAUAGCACGUGAAAUUGUUGAAAGGGAAGCGCUUGUGACCAGACUUGCGCCGGGCAGAUCAUCCGGUGUUCUCACCGGUGCACUCUGCCCGGCUCAGGCCAGCAUCGGUUCUCGCGGGGGGAUAAAGGCCCUGGGAACGUAGCUCCUCCGGGAGUGUUAUAGCCCGGGGCGUAAUGCCUUCGCGGGGACCGAGGUUCGCGC